UUAAGCGACUAAGCGUACACGGUGGAUGCCCUGGCAGUCAGAGGCGAUGAAGGACGUGCUAAUCUGCGAUAAGCGUCGGUGAGGUGAUAUGAACCGUUAUAACCGGCGAUUUCCGAAUGGGGAAACCCAGUGUGUUUCGACACACUAUCAUUAACUGAAUCCAUAGGUUAAUGAGGCGAACCGGGGGAACUGAAACAUCUAAGUACCCCGAGGAAAAGAAAUCAACCGAGAUUCCCCCAGUAGCGGCGAGCGAACGGGGAGGAGCCCAGAGCCUGAAUCAGUGUGUGUGUUAGUGGAAGCGUCUGGAAAGGCGCGCGAUACAGGGUGACAGCCCCGUACACAAAAAUGCUCAUACUGUGAGCUCGAUGAGUAGGGCGGGACACGUGGUAUCCUGUCUGAAUAUGGGGGGACCAUCCUCCAAGGCUAAAUACUCCUGACUGACCGAUAGUGAACCAGUACCGUGAGGGAAAGGCGAAAAGAACCCCGGCGAGGGGAGUGAAAAAGAACCUGAAACCGUGUACGUACAAGCAGUGGGAGCCUCUUAAUGGGGUGACUGCGUACCUUUUGUAUAAUGGGUCAGCGACUUAUAUUCUGUAGCAAGGUUAACCGAAUAGGGGAGCCGAAGGGAAACCGAGUCUUAACUGGGCGUUAAGUUGCAGGGUAUAGACCCGAAACCCGGUGAUCUAGCCAUGGGCAGGUUGAAGGUUGGGUAACACUAACUGGAGGACCGAACCGACUAAUGUUGAAAAAUUAGCGGAUGACUUGUGGCUGGGGGUGAAAGGCCAAUCAAACCGGGAGAUAGCUGGUUCUCCCCGAAAGCUAUUUAGGUAGCGCCUCGUGAAUUCAUCUCCGGGGGUAGAGCACUGUUUCGGCAAGGGGGUCAUCCCGACUUACCAACCCGAUGCAAACUGCGAAUACCGGAGAAUGUUAUCACGGGAGACACACGGCGGGUGCUAACGUCCGUCGUGAAGAGGGAAACAACCCAGACCGCCAGCUAAGGUCCCAAAGUCAUGGUUAAGUGGGAAACGAUGUGGGAAGGCCCAGACAGCCAGGAUGUUGGCUUAGAAGCAGCCAUCAUUUAAAGAAAGCGUAAUAGCUCACUGGUCGAGUCGGCCUGCGCGGAAGAUGUAACGGGGCUAAACCAUGCACCGAAGCUGCGGCAGCGACACUAUGUGUUGUUGGGUAGGGGAGCGUUCUGUAAGCCUGUGAAGGUGGCCUGUGAGGGUUGCUGGAGGUAUCAGAAGUGCGAAUGCUGACAUAAGUAACGAUAAAGCGGGUGAAAAGCCCGCUCGCCGGAAGACCAAGGGUUCCUGUCCAACGUUAAUCGGGGCAGGGUGAGUCGACCCCUAAGGCGAGGCCGAAAGGCGUAGUCGAUGGGAAACAGGUUAAUAUUCCUGUACUUGGUGUUACUGCGAAGGGGGGACGGAGAAGGCUAUGUUGGCCGGGCGACGGUUGUCCCGGUUUAAGCGUGUAGGCUGGUUUUCCAGGCAAAUCCGGAAAAUCAAGGCUGAGGCGUGAUGACGAGGCACUACGGUGCUGAAGCGACAAAUGCCCUGCUUCCAGGAAAAGCCUCUAAGCAUCAGGUAACAUCAAAUCGUACCCCAAACCGACACAGGUGGUCAGGUAGAGAAUACCAAGGCGCUUGAGAGAACUCGGGUGAAGGAACUAGGCAAAAUGGUGCCGUAACUUCGGGAGAAGGCACGCUGAUAUGUAGGUGAAGCGACUUGCUCGUGGAGCUGAAAUCAGUCGAAGAUACCAGCUGGCUGCAACUGUUUAUUAAAAACACAGCACUGUGCAAACACGAAAGUGGACGUAUACGGUGUGACGCCUGCCCGGUGCCGGAAGGUUAAUUGAUGGGGUUAGCGGUAACGCGAAGCUCUUGAUCGAAGCCCCGGUAAACGGCGGCCGUAACUAUAACGGUCCUAAGGUAGCGAAAUUCCUUGUCGGGUAAGUUCCGACCUGCACGAAUGGCGUAAUGAUGGCCAGGCUGUCUCCACCCGAGACUCAGUGAAAUUGAACUCGCUGUGAAGAUGCAGUGUACCCGCGGCAAGACGGAAAGACCCCGUGAACCUUUACUAUAGCUUGACACUGAACAUUGAGCCUUGAUGUGUAGGAUAGGUGGGAGGCUUUGAAGUGUGGACGCCAGUCUGCAUGGAGCCGGCCUUGAAAUACCACCCUUUAAUGUUUGAUGUUCUAACGUUGGCCCGUAAUCCGGGUUGCGGACAGUGUCUGGUGGGUAGUUUGACUGGGGCGGUCUCCUCCUAAAGAGUAACGGAGGAGCACGAAGGUUGGCUAAUCCUGGUCGGACAUCAGGAGGUUAGUGCAAUGGCAUAAGCCAGCUUGACUGCGAGCGUGACGGCGCGAGCAGGUGCGAAAGCAGGUCAUAGUGAUCCGGUGGUUCUGAAUGGAAGGGCCAUCGCUCAACGGAUAAAAGGUACUCCGGGGAUAACAGGCUGAUACCGCCCAAGAGUUCAUAUCGACGGCGGUGUUUGGCACCUCGAUGUCGGCUCAUCCACAUCCGUGGGGCUGAAGUAGGUCCCAAGGGUAUGGCUGUUCGCCAUUUAAAGUGGUACGCGAGCUGGGUUUAGAACGUCGUGAGACAGUUCGGUCCCUAUCUGCCGUGGGCGCUGGAGAACUGAGGGGGGCUGCUCCUAGUACGAGAGGACCGGAGUGGACGCAUCACUGGUGUUCGGGUUGUCAUGCCAAUGGCACUGCCCGGUAGCUAAAUGCGGAAGAGAUAAGUGCUGAAAGCAUCUAAGCACGAAACUUGCCCCGAGAUGAGUUCUCCCUGACCCUUUAAGGGUCCUGAAGGAACGUUGAAGACGACGACGUUGAUAGGCCGGGUGUGUAAGCGCAGCGAUGCGUUGAGCUAACCGGUACUAAUGAACCGUGAGGCUUAACCUU
rnacentral:rRNA from 1 species